GGUGCUCGAGCUGUGGUGCGUGCCGCUAAGUUGUGCGUUCCAGGGUGCACUCGCCGGCGAGGCUGCACGGCGCCGGUUUCAUUGCUAAAAUCCGACGGACUUGUUGCAGAACUCGUUUUUUUUGUCGGGAAAGGGCUUCCCCGUGUAACUUUACAGCAGUUAUCGUAGAUAAGACUUGCAAAUUACAGAUGUGGACGGUGAGGGAACGGGAAUUUCACUGAAAGCGCCUGAGAACCAGUAAGAGACCUGCAACAGCUUUGUGCUCCACUGGCGAAUGCUUCCUCCCCUAAUACACAUUAUGUGUGCUUGGAGACACAAGGAGUAAGAUACAGCCCCUCAAGGGACUCGUCAUAGGGAGAGGACACAGCUUUGGGAAUAAAGGGGCCACAAAGGAGGAGAGAGGAGUUUGCUGAAACUUCCCAAGCUCCCAUUCCAGCAGUUCCUGAAGGAUUCAUUUCUCUCUGAGGAUCUCAUGAGGUGGCUUAGCAGCUAGAAUCUCUUCCUUAACAGUGGGAAGAACAACUCCUGGAAAUUUAGGUCGACUUUGACUGGAUUUAAAAGAAAGCUGUACAAUUCCACUUCUGUAUAUACAACCAAAGGAAAUGAGAUGUGCAUACCCAUGUUCAAUGAAGCAUUAUUCACAAUAGCCAAAAUGUGGAACCAAUCCUUAAACAAAAGGAAAACAGAAAAUCUGCUCAAGUCCCUGCAGGCACCUGAGAAAAUCACAACCCACACUUGCGAACCCCUAGGAGACCUAAAGCUGUGGUUUUACAAAUAAACAGAUAAGUAACAUUCCUACUCUUUCCUAUAGGUACUCAAUCUUCUUAACAACUCCCAUCCCACACAGGUUUGCAUCCCCAGCAGAUACAUAUGGCUAUGUGGUCACCCAUUCGAUCAGCCUAUAAAAGACUUGUCUUAUUUGAUAUUGUGAAACCCAUGGUUAUCAGUGUAUAUGAAAAUGUUUGGUUCAGGGGUCAAUGUACAAUAUGACAAGCAAAGUCCUCUAAUACACAGUUAUAUAAAAUCACUCACCUGAGAGCCAAGUGGACAAUUGGCCUUAUAUUGGCUGGAGUUGGAGCCCCAGAGGGAAAAUUUGCCUAUUAUUAGGCAACUCUUCAAAACUUUACUUAUUCGUUUCUAAACACUGUCUCAUAAAAUGGGGGAUGCUUUAGAUGAAUUAAGAUUAGCACUAGAUUACUUAUUCGUUGAAAAUUAGCACUAGAUUUCUUAUUGGUUGAACAAGGAGGAGUGUGCACCAUAAUCAAUAUAACCUGCUGCAGUUAUGUAAACACCUCAGGUCACAUAGAAGAAGAUAUACAGAAAAUACAUGAACAAGCUGUGUGGUUGCGUAAAUAUAACCAAGGCACCAAUCCCAACUGUAUCUGGUCAGCCAUUAGAAGCACCCUCCUGAGUCUCACUUGGUUGUUGCCCUUCCUAGGAACUUUGAUAGUUGUCUUAUUAUUAAUCUUUGGCCCUUGCUUGUUUAAAUUCUUGGUAAAGUUUGUGUUUUUUAGAUUACAACAAUUCCACAUAAAGAUGAUACUGACACAAAGCUUCCAAUCCAUCCCGUCUUCUGAACCGGGAAAUAAAGACACCCUGCCUUUAGGUGUCUUUAGAUCUAGAUCAGGCAUCUAGAGAUUUUUACUCCUCCAAUACUUGGCAGGGUCUAUGCCCGUAGACUCAUCAGGAUACCAUGUAAAUGAGGACCUCCCUUGGUACCCCAGAGGCCAACUGUAGACCCUUAUGAGAAAAUCCUGUCCCCAAAAUGAACAUCCACUGUCAGCAGGAAGAAGUUACAGAAGACCAGCCUUUGCCCUUACGAUUAAGGGUCCUCUUGUAAGUAGAGAGGGGAAUGUUAGGAAAGCAGGAGCCUAGGUGAUCCAGAGUGACACCAUUUUAAAAUAAACUCCACCUGAAAACUAGCAAGGCAUCUGCACACAUCUGUUUAGCAAGUAUAUACUUCUGUAACUGGAAUAAAAAGCGUUAUUUUAGAAUAUGCCUAUAGUUUGUAAUAAUUAGCCGAGGGAAAAAAAGUUCACAUUGGUGUAGGAAAAGUGCCCUAAUGGUCAUGGGUAAUAAUGGGACCGUGGUUCUGGUCAGUGAUUUGAUGGAAGGGGUGUAGAUAAUAUAUUGUUGUAAAUAAUAAAAAUAAAAAAUUGUUGUAAGUAAUAAAAAUAAAAUAAUAUUGUUGUAAGUAAUAAAGUAGGAGAAAUAUUUGGUCUUUUGCUUUUGGGUUAGUGCAACAGUAGUACCAUUACUUGGAGGAGAAGUUAGAGAAGGACAAGAAUAGGCUUGAAUAAGAUGAGUGAGAAGAGAGAAAAAUUCCGUAAGUGGAGAUGGCCAGGGAACACCAGGGCAGCAGAAUCUAACUCUGAAUUUAAUGCUGUUGUCUGUUCAUAUUGCACUGCGCUGUAAUCUCCCUAUCUUUCCUAAACCAUUGGCAAAGUCUGCUAUCCACUGGGGCCUUGGGUCGGUGGUGCUUUGGGAAAUACCAGAAGAGGGAAAGUACGGCAAAUGUGCAGUGUCACAGAUGAUAGGAGGAAAGCUGGCCAGUGGGAUGAUUAAAACAAUUUCGGUGGGAGUGGGAAUUCAGACCAUGUAAAUGGUCUGAAUUAAGAAAAUUUCAAGAAACAAAAAAUGUUUCUAAUGAGCCAAAGUGAAAGCUCUUCAUGAUUUCUUUAUAGAGGCUCUCUAGUGCUUGUCCUAAUUUCCUGAAAUCUCAUGGGUAUCUUACUCUCCUGGUGCCCGCCUCAAACAUUCACUGUAGCAAUUAUAUGAGCAGCCUAGAGAAUCCCAAUCCCAGUGGUCUUGCUCCCUGGAUCUACUUUCUCUUAAAAAUCAUUCCCCUAAGUUUCCGUCACUUGGUUGAAGUUUAGUAGAUAUCUCCACAUCUCCAGCUAGAACAGCACCAGAAUUUCAGGACUAGGGCAAUAGAGUCUGAUAUUAAAUUCUAUUUCUAUCUAUCUAUCUAUCAUCUAUCUAUCUAUCUAUCUAUCUAUCUAUCUAUCUAUCUAUCUAUCUACAGAACAAUUUGUGGGAUAGUAGCUUUGGGGUCCCAGAUCUAGGAUGGGCCUGGUCCUCCAUGCUGGUUCUCCUGGGUGAUAUUUCUGUUAGUUUGAACAGUAAUCACACUUUUAUUACUGUUUCAUCUUUUUUUUUUCACUCUUAGACUGAUUUUAUCAUGUGUAUAAAACAUACACACACCUACAUCUCAAGGAUAAACAUUAAUCCUUGAAAAAUAUGUGGUCUAAAACUAUAUUGAGGAGAGAAAGAUAGGACACUUUAAUUGCCACAUGAUUAACACGAGGUCACCACACAGCUUUCACAAAUCUACAAGUCAUUCUAUUUAGGCUGAGUCAAGUUCUCCCUUGGGCCAGCCAGAGCACAAAUAAUGGAGCAAUGUGACUCUUCAAUGACAGAUCUCUGAUUUCCAGAAAAGAGACUUUGAAAUACCCAAUUCUAGUAAAUAUGCAAUUAAAUUUCCAGCUAAAUGACCUUUGCUCCUGUAGUCUUCAUCUUGGGGAAGGGAAAGAAGUCUUAUUCUGUUUAAUAGUUUGAUUUUUAUAAUAGGGUUUGUCUCUGUUAUAAAUCUUGUUUGAUAUUUAAAAUGUUAGCUAAGAGAAAACUUCUGUUUGUUUUUAUUUAGUGGGAAGAAACUAACCCUCAUUGAGUGCCUAGUUAACAUCAGGCACUUUGUACACAUAAUCAAUUGAAUCUUGACCACAACCCUGUGAGAUCCAUGGAUGAUUCUGGGUUUAGUUCUUUGUGAGACUGCCAGAAACUCCCAGAGGCUGGAUCUAUGCAUAAAGAGAGGCCAUUGGAGAGAAUGUCUACUGAAUUGCUGAAGACAAUUGCUACCGAGAAUAGAUCGUAACUUAGGAAGAAACAAUUCAGUACCAAAAGAGUAAUUGGAGCCCUUCUGGAAAACACUAGUGAAAAAUGAGAAGAUUAAAUAAGCCAUGGGAAGAUUUUUUAAAAUGACAUGAAACUCCAAGGGUAAAAAGUAGGCAUUUCCACCUUUCCCUGCUUCAUCCAUACCUCCAAAAACAGAACCCUUCAAAGAACGUCCUGAGAAGAACAACUGGCCACUGAUUUUGAGUUGAACACUGGCAGGCAACACCCCAACAACCACACAGACCCCAUAGCUCUCAUUGCAGGAGGCGAGGGCAGCUGCCUGUUAGAAAGUGAUGCAAUACAGUAUAGGGGUUAAAAGAUGUAUGUGAGGAUUGAGCCUACAUCUUAAUUUCAGCUUAACUCCUAAAUGGUCUAUGACUUUCUUUUCUGAUUCUCCCUAUUCUCAUUUGAAGUAACAUUUAUCUUGUAAGGAUGCUAUGAAACACAUAUAAGACGUUGUAUGUUGCUUAGUAUAGUACCUGGCACUUUAGGACUCAAUAAAUGGAAAUAACAAAAAUGAAAAUAGUAAAAACAUCCACAGUAGUGAUAAUAAUAAAAAUAAUUUUUAUAAAAAUUAUUACUGAUGCAGGUGGCUGGUAAGAAUUGACAUUUUUCUUUUAGACAUCUAAGAAGACAGAUAUUUAUAUAAUAAGAUGAUAGCAAAGUGAGAAACAGAUACCGUUACAUUCGUUAUGUUCAAAGGCUAUUUCUCAGAGUAAGAGUGUGAGAAAGGUUUUGCUGUUUCUUCUUACAG
rnacentral:lncRNA from 10 species